UGCAAAGGAAUAAAUCUUGAAAGUAAAGCAUCCCCUCCAGCAAAAUAUUUUACUGCAUUUGCCUUGGAGAAUUCUACUGCAGGAGAGAGAAAGGGGAAAAAAAGCCCUGCAGAGUAUCUGGAACAACUUCAAAUUCAAUAGCCUAUGAGAUUUUCCUUUAAAUGAUCUUUCUAAAUAUAACAGUUCAAUAGGUCAGUGGUCAAUAUGAAUGUUAUCUGCAAGCUGGAGCUAUUAAUUUCUGCAACGCUGUUUCAGAUGCCAAAUGUUAACCUAAUGUUUUAUACUCCAGCUUUCUCACACAUAUGUUUAAAUGAACAUUAUGCAAAAACUGUGGAGGAAGUGGUGCUGGUGCUUCCAUACUUAAAAGGAAAAUUGCUGCUAAAUCAUGUUACAGAAUUAAUUUCAUUUUUUUCUUUAAAAUGUUCUUUGGGGAAUGACCUGCUUGAAUGGAAGGACGUUUCCAAAGGCAUGGUGAGGAUCUGUACCUCUUGAAAAAGGAAAGAGAGACAACACAGCAAAGGAUACUCUACAGUGAUUUGAGUCCAUGCAAAACUCCUGUAGUGCUGCAAGAAGCCAGAGAAAAGUUCUGGGAGAAAACAUCACAGAAGGGCACAGGGAAAUCAUCUUCACAGAAGAUAUUUAAGAUCUACCUUGUGCUAGAGUACAUUCCUCAGGGACCAUGGAUUGUGGAUGUCACUUGAGAAAUAUUUACAUCUGCAGUGAAGCUACAGUGGAAGCAGAAAUGCUGUGGUUCCACUACAGUAACGCUUUUUCAAGAAAAGCUGCAUUUAAAUGUCUUUCUUUAGAUGAACUUUGGAAGACCAGUACUCAUAUUAUAGAAUGGUGCUAAAACCAAAUUUUGCUAACUCAUUUUGAACUCUCUCUAGGAUGGGACAGGCUCACAAAGGAAAAUGAAUCAUUAAAGGUUUACCUCAUCUGGAGAAUAAUCUUCACAUAUCUGUAGAGAUCGGACGGAUCCUGAUGUGAUCUUGAAAUCUGAGUUAAUGUGGUCUCUUCAGGGAAUAUAGAUAGGUGUCAUUUGUGUAGACAGCACUCAAAAUAGUUGGGAUUUAAUAUUUAACACUAGCUGAUUGUACUAAAUGUGCUGUGAAAGUAAUCUUUAUGUUGGCCAAAUGCAGAACCAUUUGAGCAACAUCUCUCUCCUCAAAUAACAGACCAUGCCCCCCCAGCAGACCAAAACAAGCCAAACAAAGAAGAGCAGGGGGACAGGAAAGUGGUUUUUUUUUUUUUUUUUUUUUUUUUUUGGUGCUGCUCAACCCUGCCUAUCAGGAAGAUUCAUUUGCAAAACACAUUGUCCAGCUGACUGCUUCUUCUCUUUCUCCUCAUGAUUUGUGGGAAAAGGAGACAGCUCAUCUUUGACCUCACCUGUAUGUCCUCACCUUCCUGAGGAAGGUAACUUGAAGGUAACUUGAAGGUAACUUGAAGCUCGCCAUGGCUGAGGAAGUCUUUGAAUGAGAACAAUUUAUUUCAUUUGCAAAACAAAGGAAAUCCAUCCAGAGCUUAACUCAAUCCUGCUCAAAGAGAACAAAUCCUACAAAAACCUCUAUGGUUGAAAAAAUGCUGUGAUGGCUGCCAAGUCAGACACUAAGAAGUUACUAAAUAUUAAAAUGGAGUCUUCCUUAAUAUAAUUCUUGCAUGCAUGUAAUUGGGAUUUAACUUUCAAAUGAAUAAACACUA